rnacentral:rRNA from 1 species
UGGCUCAGAUUGAACGCUAGCGGGAUGCCUUACACAUGCAAGUCGAACGGCAGCACGGACUUCGGUCUGGUGGCGAGUGGCGAACGGGUGAGUAAUGUAUCGGAACGUGCCUAGUAGCGGGGGAUAACUACGCGAAAGCGUAGCUAAUACCGCAUACGCCCUACGGGGGAAAGCAGGGGAUCGCAAGACCUUGCACUAUUAGAGCGGCCGAUAUCGGAUUAGCUAGUUGGUGGGGUAACGGCUCACCAAGGCGACGAUCCGUAGCUGGUUUGAGAGGACGACCAGCCACACUGGGACUGAGACACGGCCCAGACUCCUACGGGAGGCAGCAGUGGGGAAUUUUGGACAAUGGGGGAAACCCUGAUCCAGCCAUCCCGCGUGUGCGAUGAAGGCCUUCGGGUUGUAAAGCACUUUUGGCAGGAAAGAAACGUCGCGGGUUAAUACCCCGCGAAACUGACGGUACCUGCAGAAUAAGCACCGGCUAACUACGUGCCAGCAGCCGCGGUAAUACGUAGGGUGCAAGCGUUAAUCGGAAUUACUGGGCGUAAAGCGUGCGCAGGCGGUUCGGAAAGAAAGAUGUGAAAUCCCAGAGCUUAACUUUGGAACUGCAUUUUUAACUACCGAGCUAGAGUGUGUCAGAGGGAGGUGGAAUUCCGCGUGUAGCAGUGAAAUGCGUAGAUAUGCGGAGGAACACCGAUGGCGAAGGCAGCCUCCUGGGAUAAC